rnacentral:rRNA from 1 species
GAUGAACGCUGGCGGCGUGCCUAAUACAUGCAAGUCGAGCGAGCGGAGGGGAAGUUUGCUUCUCUGAUGUUAGCGGCGGAUGGGUGAGUAACAAGUGGAUAACCUACCUAUAAGACUGGGAUAACUGCGGGGAAUCCUAGCUAAUAAUGGAAGAUAUUUUGAACCGCAUGGUUUAAUAGAGAAAGACGGUCUUGUUGUCGAUUAUAGAUGGAUACGCGCUGCAUUAGGUAGUUGGUAAGGUAACGGCUCACCAAGGCAACGAUGCAUAGCCGACCUGCGAGGAUGAUCGGCCACACUGGGACUGAGACCCGGUCCAGACUCAUACGGGAGCCAGCAUUAGGGAAUCUUCCGCCAUGAGCGAAGACCUGACGGAGCAACACCGCGUGAGUGAUGAAGGUCUUCGGAUCGUAAAACUCUGUUAUUCGGGAAGAAAAUAUGUGUAAGUAACCGUGCACAUCUUGACGGUACCUACUCAGAAAGCCACGGCUAACUACGUG